AGAUGGAGCAGAAGGCGGGGAAGGCCUCUGAGGACGGGGCCACUGUCCCCCCAGCCGCGGACGCCCCGGAGACCGCGGGAGGUGGCGGCUCUGCGGAGGAGGAGGCCGCAGGCCCCGCUGAGAGCGCCGCCAGAGCAGGGCCGGCCGCGGCGGGGCAGCAGGAGCGGGCCCCGGCCGAGGACGGCGUCUCCGCUGAAUGCCCGGCAGACGGGCUGGGUGAGGCCGAGGCGGAAUCCCAAGGCGAGGCUGAGCUUCAGCAGGAAGACCGGGGGCAGGGAGCGGCCACCGCGGCCCCUCGGAAGACCGCCAGGAAAGAGCAGGCCGACUCUGCGCCCGCGGGGGCUGCAGCGGACGGGGAGGGCGCGGCGGCCGCUGGGCAGCGGAGCGCCGAUGAGAGAGCGGCCAGGCCCGGGUCUAGGGAGACAGUCGACGCGAGCGGAGAGGCCCGGGCUGAGCUGAAGCAGCCUUCCGGGGCGCAGGAGGCCGAGGCUGGAGGCGGGGAGGCCGACGGGCCGGGCGAGGCCGCCGCGGCCCCUCAGGAGGAGGGCGGCCAGACGGAGGAGCCCCAGGCUGAAGCCCAGGAGGAGGCCGGCGCGCCAGCGGCCCAGCUGGACUCUCCGAAGGCCGCCGAGGCGGACGCGGCCAAGCCCGAGCCACAGGAGGAGGCGACGGAGGGGGUGGAGCCAGGCGGUCCUGAUGACGAGCAGGACCAGGGUGCGGGGGCAGAGGCUGAGGACGGGGCAGGGGGGCCUCCCAACUCCCCGGAGGGAUGGCCCGAGAGCCCCACGGAGGAGGGCGGCAGCGCCAGCCCAGAGGGGCUGAGCCCAGACACUGCCGCUUCUGAAGAACCCGGUCCUUCAGCCAGUGACUCUUCGCCCAGCGAUGUGCCCCAGAGCCCCACGGAGCCCCCUCCGUCAGAGGAGAAGAAGAAGGAGAAGGCUCCAGAGCGCAGAGUGUCCGCUCCUACCCGGCCCCGGGGACCCCGAGCUCAGAACCGCAAGGCCAUCGUGGACAAGUUCGGGGGGGCGGCCGCGGGCCCCACGGCCCUGUUCCGGAACACCAAGGCGGCGGGCGCGGCGGUGGGCGGCGUUCGGAACAUGCUGCUGGAGUGGUGCCGCGCCAUGACCAGGAACUAUGAGCACGUGGACAUCCAGAACUUCUCCUCGAGCUGGGGCAGCGGCAUGGCCUUCUGCGCGCUCAUCCACAAGUUCUUCCCCGACGCCUUUGACUAUGCGGCGCUGGACCCCGCGCAGCGCCGCCACAACUUCACGCUCGCCUUCUCCACCGCAGAGAAACUGGCCGACUGCGCCCAGCUGCUGGAGGUGGACGACAUGGUGCGGCUGGCGGUGCCCGACUCCAAGUGCGUCUACACCUACAUCCAGGAGCUGUACCGCAGCCUCGUGCAGAAGGGGCUGGUGAAGACCAAGAAGAAAUGA
rnacentral:lncRNA from 1 species